CUUUCCCUCUUUCUUCAGGCCUAACACAUGCAAGUCGAACGGCAACACGGAAAGACCUGCCUCUUAGCUGACGCGAGGCGCACGGGGGUGAGAUAUACGUGAGAAUGUACGAUUUCGGGGGAUAUCAACUGGGAAAGCUAGCUCUUAUACCAUAUCGUAGCUACACGUAAGAGGAGGACAUCUUCGCACCUUGCCAUAGUAAAUGACCAGAUGGGAUUAGCUAGUGGGGGGGGUAAAGGCUCACCCAGGCGACGAUCCCUAGCUGGUCUGAGAGGAUGACCAGCCACACUGGAACUGAGACACGGUCCAGACUCCUACGGGAGGCAGCAGUGGGGAAUAUUGGACAAUGGGCGCAAGCCUGAUGCAGCCAUGCCGCGUGUAUGAAGAAGGCCUUCGGGUUGUAAAGUACUUUCGUCGGGAAAGAAAAGAAUAAGGUUAAUACCUCGCCGCAUUGACGGUACCCACAGAAUAAGCACCGGCUAACUUCGUG
rnacentral:rRNA from 1 species